rnacentral:rRNA from 1 species
AUAAUUUAAAAAAUUAAAAAUAAAAAAUUUUUUUAAUUUUUAAAAUAAUUAGUAAAAUAUUAUUAAAUUUAAAAUUGAAAAUUUUAGUAUAAAAAUAGAAAAAAAAAAUAUUUAUAGUUAAUUAGUAAUGUGAAUGAAAUUUGAAAAAAAAAUUAAAAAUAAAAUGAUUAAAAGACAAAUUAAUUUUUUUUAUCUUGUGUAUCAGAGUUUAAAAAAUAUAUUAUAUUAUUAAAUAUUUUUUUCGAAAAAAAUUAAGAGAUAAAAUUUUUAAAUUUUAAUUGUAAAAAAACUUUUAAAUAAAAAAUUUUUGUAAUGAAAAGUUAUUCGAUUUUUUUUAUUUCUAAUUUUUAAAGAAAAAAAUUUAAUUUUAUAUUUAAUUUAAAUUAAAAUUUAAAUUUUACAUAAAAUUAAAUAUUUAUAUUUAUAGGGAUAAGCUUAUAAAUAAAAGUUUAUAUUAUAAAUUAAAAAAAAUAAUAGAAUUUUAAAAUUUAAAGUUUUAAGUUAGUUUUAAGUUUUUAAUAAAUUAUCUAUAAAAAUUUAAAUUUAUUUUAAAUUUUAUAAUUAAAAAUUUAUUUAAAAUUAUUUAUAAAUUUAAAUUAAUUAAAUUUAAUGUUAGAAUUAGUAUAAAAUUUAUAUUUUAAGUAUAAAAAAAAAUUAAUUUAAAGAAUUAGGCAAGAAAAUUAAAUAUUAAUAGUUUAUUUCACCUGUUUAACAAAAACAUGUCUUUUUGUAAAAAAUAAUAAGUCAAAUCUGCCCACUGAUAAAUAAAAUUAAAGGGCUGCAGAAAUUUAACUGUACAAAGGUAGCAUAAUAAAUUGUUUUUUGAUUAAAAACUAGAAUGAAUGAUUUAAUGAAAUUAAAACUUUUUUAAAUUAAUAAAAUAGAAUUUAUUUUUUUUGUUAAAAAACAAAAAUUUUUAUUUUAGACGAGAAGACCCUUUAGAUUUUAAUUAAAAAAUUUAUAAAUAUUUAAUUUUAAAUUUUAUUUGUAAAAUUUUAAUUUGAUUGGGGUGAUUGUUAAAUUUAAUUAACUUUAAUUAAUAAAAAAAAAUUUAAAUUAAAGAAAUUUCUUUAAGUAAAAGAUUUAAUUGGUUGGAUUAAAAGAAUAAAUUACCUAAGGGAUAACAGCGUAAUUUUAAUUUUUAGAUCUCAUAAAAAUUAAAGGUUGCGACCUCGAUGUUGGAUUAAGAUAAAUUAAAAAUGUAGAUGUUUUUAUUUUUAGUCUGUUCGACUAUUAAAAUCUUACAUGAUCUGAGUUCAAACCGGUGUGAGCCAGGUUGGUUUCUAUCUAAAUUAAUAAUUUAAAUUUUUAGUACGAAAGGAUUAAUUUUUAGAAAUAAAAAAUUUUUAUGAAUUAUGGAAUAAUAAUAAUGUUUAAGAUGAA